AUACGUAGGGUGCGAGCGUUGUCCGGAAUUACUGGGCGUAAAGAGCUCGUAGGUGGUUUGUCGCGUCGUCUGUGAAAUUCCGGGGCUUAACUCCGGGCGUGCAGGCGAUACGGGCAUAACUUGAGUACUGUAGGGGAGACUGGAAUUCCUGGUGUAGCGGGGAAAUGCGCGGAUAUCAGGAGGAACACCGGUGGCGAAGGGGGGUCUCUGGGCAGUAACUGACGCUGAGGAGCGAAAGCAUGGGUAGCGAACAGGAUUAGAUACCCUGGUAGUCCAUGCCGUAAACGGUGGGCGCUAGGUGUAGGGGUCUUCCACGACUUCUGUGCCGUAGCUAACGCAUUAAGCGCCCCGCCUGGGGAGUACGGCCGCAAGGCUAAAACUCAAAUGAAUUGACGGGG
rnacentral:rRNA from 1 species